rnacentral:hammerhead_ribozyme from 1 species
AUCCAGCUGACGAGCCCCGAAUAAAGCGAAACGCGCGUCAAACUGGAU